AGAGGGACUCUGGAAGUGGCCUACACGCUCAGCUGGGUGGACCCCUGGGAGCCGUUCUACAUAGGGCCCAACACUGUGCCCCUCUACGACGAGAACUUCAAGCAAUAUGGCUUCAAUCGCAUCAGCCAGGCCUGCGAGCUGCACGUGGCCGGAUACAAGUUCUCGGUGCUGAGCUCGGCCUUCGUGGUGCACCGGGGCUUCAAGAUCCAGGGGGAGUUCCACGCCAGGAAAGACGAGGAGAACAAACGCAACCGGGUUCUGUUCCGCAGCUUCAAAGAGGGUCUGAAAGCCAAAUACCCGUCCUCCACAAGAAGGUGCUGAGAGGAGUGAGGACAUCCUGCCAGAGUCCAGCCCCGAUGAUUUCUGCUGAGGUGGUGGACGGACAUUGUUCUGACACUAACCAGCUUCACUCUGGAAUCAGGCUCCCCUGCCCAAAACAUCCUGGUUGUUCUAUGAUCUCUUGUGAUGGUGGCUCAGUCGGAGUUGAAGCUAAUCCAACUCUCGGGCUUAUUUCAAGAAACGUCCCUGAGAGCAGGACAAAGAAUCAAACGUUUAAAAUGUACACGCACUCGAUCAGUGUUCACAGAACAUGAAGGAUGUUUUUGAGCUUGUGCAGAAAACGACCGCAGAGUUUCUACACAUUUAAAGAAAAGCUGAUCAACGCUUCACUGAAACAAUAUCAUUUCUUCAGUAUUAACAGGAAAGACAGAAACAUCACACUGCUGCUGUGGAUCACGUUUUCCAGGGUUUGUCUUGCCUGCCGUGGUAAAACACUCGGGGACAUGUAGAGGACACAAGAGUCCAGAGCUUUUCACGGUAACAGUGGACGCCAGUGUCUUUGUGCUGUAAACAACAAGCAGAAUUGAGACGUCAUGUCCUGCCUCCUGUUGCCGUCUCGUCUGAAUGUCCCAGACACGAUCCUGAUGUUGUGACGGCGUCUGAACCGAACAAUCCUCCUGCUGCUUCAUAUGUGAAAGACAAACUCUGGAAAAAUGUCCAGAAAGAGUUCAAGACUGAAGAGAGCUGCAGGGCGUCUCUUUGACUUCUGUGCCAACCAGUGCUGUGCUCCUGCCACCAGAUGGCAGCUCGGUGUUGAGAGCCUGGUGUAUUUUAGCGUUAGCAGAACACGGGGAUUACACAACAUCAUACGUGUUCUUACUCACACGUCACCAGGACAACAAAGCACUGGACAACUUUAUAUAGAGACGUAGUAGAAGACGAGCAGACGCUGUGAGAACUCCCGUGUUACAACACUGAGGAUCUGAUAUGCAGCUGAUUAGAUGAAAGCUUGAGUUAUUAGGACGAGUAUAUACGAGUGAUGUGGACGUGGUCAGUACGUAGACAGAUAAAAAUACUGCAUCAUCAAAGUGAAAACUACAAAAUCAGCCUGUGUUGUUAAAGCUGUGGACAAACCACUAGAAUACAAAUGACAGAGGUUUCAUUUUGUUGUGUAUCCCACUGGUACACACGGUGUCAACCCUCUUUCCUCCCGUUAGUGAAACACACACAGAGCAAAUAUGUUGAGUUACUUUUAACACUGGAAUAGUUUUGUCUCCUUCACUUGUCAUGUUUGAUAUAUUUAUUGCCGAAAUGUUUUUAACUGGAAUUGGUUGAGGUGUUUUGUUUUUGUUUUUUUUAAAUGACCCCAAGCAGGAAAAACUGUAGCACGCAAUUGUGUGAUUGUGCAAAAAAAAAAAAAGACGACGGUACAGAACAUUUAGAGUUUUUGUUUUAGAAGCACAAUGAACUUGGUGUUUUUGAAGUGAAAUCAAUUUCAACAAAUGACCUUUGUGAUAAGUGGAGUGGUGCUUUAUUCGUCACGUGUCUCUUCCUCACCUGAAAAUGCAGUUUUUGUUUAGUAUUUAUAUAUUUUUGUUGCGUGAUAAAAUAUGAUGCCUGAUUUGUUUUGUUGAAAUUUAUAUUAAACCUUCUGGACGACUUGUAUCUGACCCUCAA